rnacentral:rRNA from 2 species
UCGGAGAGUUUGAUCCUGGCUCAGGAUGAACGCUGGCGGCGUGCCUAAUACAUGCAAGUCGAGCGAACUGAUUAGAAGCUUGCUUCUAUGACGUUAGCGGCGGACGGGUGAGUAACACGUGGGCAACCUGCCUGUAAGACUGGGAUAACUCCGGGAAACCGGAGCUAAUACCGGAUAACAUUUUUUCUUGCAUAAGAGAAAAUUGAAAGAUGGUUUCGGCUAUCACUUACAGAUGGGCCCGCGGUGCAUUAGCUAGUUGGUGAGGUAACGGCUCACCAAGGCAACGAUGCAUAGCCGACCUGAGAGGGUGAUCGGCCACACUGGGACUGAGACACGGCCCAGACUCCUACGGGAGGCAGCAGUAGGGAAUCUUCCGCAAUGGACGAAAGUCUGACGGAGCAACGCCGCGUGAGUGAUGAAGGCUUUCGGG